rnacentral:lncRNA from 10 species
CCGCCUCGGCCUCUCAAAGUGCUGGGAUUACAGGCAUGAGCCACCAUGCCCAGCCAAGAGCAGAAACUCUUUAGAGCUUGCAGGUAAUUCUAGUGUAUAGUCACUUGUGAUCCUCAAAGAUCCCGCUCAUAGACUUAUCCAUGUUCCAAUUUAAUCCAACUCUGACAGACAUGGUUUAGAUGAGAGAGGACAAACUGCUGCUCUGCCUUGCGGGGCUGCUGGCCCCUCCUGAGGUGCAGUGGGUGAGAGGGUGGCAGGGGUAGUGGGGCAGGGAGGAGUCUCCAUAGGACAGGUCAAGUCACCACAAAUGUGGGUUGGAUACUUGGGAGGCUGAGGCAGGGGGAUCGUUUGAGCCCAGGAGUUCGAGGCUGUAGUGAGCUUAUGGUUGUGUCACUGCACUCCAGCCUGGAUGACAGAGUAAGACUCUGCCUAAAAAAAAAUUCUGGCUAGAAUCUGGCCAUGGGGACCCAUUAGACAAAGACCCCUUAUUUAACUGACCACAGAGCUCCAGGCAUGAUCGGCCUCCCCAGUCACCACACUCCCUUCCAGCGUGGCCCAAGUCAGCUCCCUGGUU